AGAGUUUGAUCAUGGCUCAGGAUGAACGCCGGCGGUGUGCCUAAUACAUGCAAGUUGAGCGCAUUGGCCCAACUGAUAUGACGUGCUUGCACUGAAUUGACGUUGGAUUACCAGUGAGCGGCGGACGGGUGAGUAACACGUGGGCAACCUGCCCUGAAGCGGGGGAUAACAUCUGGAAACAGAUGCUAAUACCGCAUAACAACGAAAACCACAUGGUUUUCGUUUCAAAGAUGGUUUCGGCUAUCACUUAGGAUGGGCCCGCGGUGCAUUAGCUAGUUGGUAAGGUAACGGCUUACCAAGGCAAUGAUGCAUAGCCGAGUUGAGAGACUGAUCGGCCACAAUGGAACUGAGACACGGUCCAUACUCCUACGGGAGGCAGCAGUAGGGAAUCUUCCACAAUGGGCGCAAGCCUGAUGGGAGCAACACCGCGUGAGUGAAGAAGGGUUUCGGCUCGUAAAAGCUCUGUUUGUUGGAGAAGAACGUGCGUGAGAGUAACUGUUCACGCAGUGACGGUAUCCAACCAGAAAGUCACGGCUAACUACGUGCCAGCAGCCGCGGUAAUACGUAGGUGGCAAGCGUUAUCCGGAUUUAUUGGGCGUAAAGCGAGCGCAGGCGGUGGCUUAGGUCUGAUGUGAAAGCCUUCGGCUUAACCGAAGAAGGGCAUCGGAAACCGGGCGACUUGAGUGCAGAAGAGGACAGUGGAACUCCAUGUGUAGCGGUGGAAUGCGUAGAUAUAUGGAAGAACACCAGUGGCGAAGGCGGCUGUCUGGUCUGCAACUGACGCUGAGGCUCGAAAGCAUGGGUAGCGAACAGGAUUAGAUACCCUGGUAGUCCAUGCCGUAAACGAUGAGUGCUAGGUGUUGGAGGGUUUCCGCCCUUCAGUGCCGGAGCUAACGCAUUAAGCACUCCGCCUGGGGAGUACGACCGCAAGGUUGAAACUCAAAGGAAUUGACGGGGGCCCGCACAAG
rnacentral:rRNA from 2 species